rnacentral:rRNA from 1 species
GCACGGGUGAGUAACACGUAUCCAACCUGCCGUCUACUCUUGGACAGCCUUCUGAAAGGAAGAUUAAUACAAGAUGGCAUCAUGAGUCCGCAUGUUCACAUGAUUAAAGGUAUUCCGGUAGACGAUGGGGAUGCGUUCCAUUAGAUAGUAGGCGGGGUAACGGCCCACCUAGUCUUCGAUGGAUAGGGGUUCUGAGAGGAAGGUCCCCCACAUUGGAACUGAGACACGGUCCAAACUCCUACGGGAGGCAGCAGUGAGGAAUAUUGGUCAAUGGGCGAGAGCCUGAACCAGCCAAGUAGCGUGAAGGAUGACUGCCCUAUGGGUUGUAAACUUCUUUUAUAAAGGAAUAAAGUCGGGUAUGCAUACCCGUUUGCAUGUACUUUAUGAAUAAGGAUCGGCUAACUCCGUGCCAGCAGCCGCGGUAAUACGGAGGAUCCGAGCGUUAUCCGGAUUUAUUGGGUUUAAAGGGAGCGUAGAUGGAUGUUUAAGUCAGUUGUGAAAGUUUGCGGCUCAACCGUAAAAUUGCAGUUGAUACUGGAUAUCUUGAGUGCAGUUGAGGCAGGCGGAAUUCGUGGUGUAGCG